rnacentral:lncRNA from 1 species
AUCUACUACCAAAAAUGCUGUCAAGAACACACGAAAAAUUUAGCUGGGUUGGAUCCAUGAGGGCAAACAAGUAAGGAAGCGAUGUGGUGGAGGCACCAGGGUUCUUGAUGUGAACAAGACUGCAACUAAAAUGGAUUUACUCUCUCUUGCGAAGGAACUAUUUUUUCCAAACGGCAAGUCUAAAAAAGGAAACUGGGAAGACUUAAUUCACAAUGUGUAUGAUUUCAAGGAAUGCGAACUUGAUGACCACACAGAUGUUGGUGAACUGUACGAAUUGUCGAAGUUUGGGAUGUUGCGCUUUUACUUACACACAGCAGUCCAACCACAAGAAGCAGACACGGACAAGGAAGAUGACAGUGCCCUGAGUGACACUCCCACAGAGCAGGACACACAAAGUGCCCUGAGUGACACUCCCACAGAGCAGGACACACAAAGUGCCCUGAGUGACACUCCCACAGAGCAGGACACAAAAAGUGCCCUGAGUGACACUCCCACAGAGCAGGACACACAAAGUGCCCUGAGUGACACUCCCAGAGAGCAGGACACACAAAGUGCCCUGAGUGACACUCCCACAGAGCAGGACGCUCAAAGUGCCCUGAGUGACACUCCCACAGAGCAGGACGCACAAAGUGCCCUGAGUGACACUCCCACAGAGCAGGACGCACAAAGUGCCCUGAGUGACACUCCCACAGAGCAGGACGCACAAAGUCCCCUGAGUGACACUCCCACAGAGCAGGACGCACAAAGUGCACUGAGUGACACUCCCACAGAGCAGGACACACAAAGUGCCCUGAGUGACACUCCCACAGAGCAGGACGCACAAAGUGCCCUGAGUGACACUCCCACAGAGCAGGACGCACAAAGUGCCCUGAGUGACACUCCCACAGAGCAGGACACACAAAGUGCCCUGAGUGACACUCCCACAGAGCAGGACACACAAAGUGCCCUGAGUGACACUCCCACAGAGCAGGACGCACAAAGUGCCCUGAGUGAUACUCCCACAGAGCAGGAAGAACAAAGUGCCCUGAGUGACACUCCCACAGAGCAGGACAUACAAAUCUCUGUUAUCCACUUUGAAAAUUCAUCUGGCUAUGAAUUCGUAGAUCUUCGGUCCCUAUCUCCAAUGUCUGAUCCAGAAGUAUUCUUUGGGCCAGGAGAAGGCACUCCUUCUGAAGGCCAACUGGAUGACACAAUUCCACUUGGGCUUAACAUCGACUCCCCUGUGACCUCUACCUUUCUACAUCCACCUGAUGACAUUACCACAUCCGUACCACUUGCCUCAACACCUCUUCCUAUGCCAAUGUACGAGAUUCAAUCUUUAAAUUCUGAAACACCAUCAAUGCGAAUAACACUUCACAGGGCUAAUCUCUUUGAUGAAAUGAUAAUCCAAUUCAAGGAUCCCUCUAUCCUGGACUACCCAUUGAAUUACAGUAUGGUCAAUGAACGUGGCAGAGACGAGGAUGGAGUUGCCAGAGAUGUGUACACUGUCUUUUGGAAUGAAUCUUUGGACAGGGCAGCAGAAGGUGCAGAGUUAAGAAUACCCUCUCUGUCACCGAGAUGGCAGGAAGAUGAAUGGAAGGCUGUGGGAAGAAUUCUAGCGAAAGGAUGGAUGGAUCAAGGAUACUUUCCUGUGCGCCUUGCCCCGGCAUUCACUACAGCCCUCCUAUUCGGUGAGCAUGCGGUGUCUAUGAAGACACUCUUUGAGGCAUUUCGGAUGUAUUUAAGUCAGUCUGAGAGAGAUGUUAUUGACAUGGCUUUAAAUGAAGACCUUGACGGUGAGUCCCAGGAUGAACUCCUGGAUAUACUUGAUAGGCUGGGAGUGAAAAUCGUUCCAAAACGUGAAAAUCUCAAAGCAGUACUCCUUCAAGCGGCACAUAAGCAGAUGAUCAAGGAGCCAAAAUAUGCUCUCGACAAUAUGGCAGCAGUUGCUGCUAAAUGCCUGAAGACCACCAUAAACACACCAGAACAACUGGAAGCCAUGUAUACGGACAAAAAUCCAACGCGCCGGAAAGUCCUGAAGCUCAUUGAAGCCCAUCCAGUCUCUGCUGCAGAGAAACAAGCCUUCAAAUUUUUCCAGCAGUACAUCCGUGGAUUACACGAUACAGGAUUAAGAAAACUGUUGAGGUUCAUAACUGGCUCUGACAUUACAUCUGUAUCAAAAAUUGAAGUACUUUUCAC